rnacentral:misc_RNA from 1 species
UUUCCGUAGGUGAACCUGCGGAAGGAUCAUUAAAGAAUCGCCCCGUUUUUAAUAACUGGGUUCUCUUCCCACUCCGUGCUUACGUACCUGUGUUGCUUUGGCAGGCCGCCUCCGGGCGUCGGCACCGGCUGGUAGUGCCUGCCAGAGGUCCCAAACUCUGUGUUUAGUGAUGUCUGAGUACUAUAUAAUAAUUAAAACUUUCAACAACGGAUCUCUUGGUUCUG